UAACCGAUGUCUCUUCUCGCAUACAGGCAUUAAACACAGCAUAGGAGGUUUUAUGUCUUGCGGCAUCUUCAGGGAUGCCGAAAGACUUAUUCAACAUUUGAAUCAUCUUCUUAGAUUGUGUAUCCUCGAACUUACAGCUAGUUCAUUAUUCGUGACUACCCUCAUGAUGCAACAUACAAUCAUACAGUCAUUGAGCCACUUCAAAUAAGUGUCUCUCAUCACACGUGGUGUGUACGUAGCAGGUUCUUUGGGUGCAGGAUCCAUAAACACAUAUAAGAUCCCUUCGUGCUCCAAGAUAAUUUUUAGCUUUCGAUACCAGCUAUCAAAAUUUGAUCUGCUAAGCUUGUCGCUAUCCAACAA
rnacentral:lncRNA from 1 species